rnacentral:rRNA from 1 species
GGAUUAGAUACCCUGGUAGUCCACGCUGUAAACGAUGAGUACUAGCUAUUGGAUCUGGUGUAAAAGAUUUAGUGGCGUAGCUAACGCGUUAAGUACUCCGCCUGGGGACUACGGCCGCAAGGCUAAAACUCAAAGGAAUUGACGGGGACCCGCACAAGCGGUGGAGCAUGUGGUUUAAUUCGAUGCAACGCGAAGAACCUUACCUACCCUUGACAUCCAUAGAAGAAUUAAGAGAUUAAUUUGUGCCUUCGGGAACUAUGAGACAGGUGCUGCAUGGCUGUCGUCAGCUCGUGUCG